CUACACAAUGAAUUGAAAAAUAAAGUUGAAACAUUUUCUGAAUCAAGAGUCUUUAAUGAGCUGAAAACUAAACUGCUUAAUGUAAAAGAAUAUAAGGAGAAACUCUUGAUUACCUUGGGUGAGUUUCUAGAAGACCAUUUUCCUCUGCCUGAUGGAAGUGUUAAAAAGAAAAAG